AUGGAGGAGAGACCCCCCAGGUACCCCAGGGUGGCCUGGGCAGAGAGUGUGGCUCCCCAGGAGAGAAGACCUCCAGUGGAGUCUGAUGAAGUGACCGAGAUGCAGUCAUUGCAUGCUGAUGCUGACUGCCUGCCUCCUGGUGCAAAGGAGGAGAAUGAGGAGAUGGAGGAGAAGGAGGCCUUAAGUAUCAUAGAAAACUUCCUCAGGAGAACAGAAAAGGAGGAUAAGCUCAAGGUGAUGUUCCUGGAGAGCAUCUGCAGCAUUGCUAGAAUCAGCAAAAACAAGGGCUUUUGUGACAGCCUGGCUAUUUUCUGCCGUAAGAAGAAAUUGGCAGAGAAAGUCAAGGAGCUGCUGGAAAAUGAGCCCAUGGACCAGCUGUGCACAGCAGUGCGGUACCAAGCCAUGCUUGCAGUCGCUGCCUUGAGUGAAAUGAAGGCCAUUUCGGAGGAUGAAAUAAUGCCUCUCGCAUUUAUGUGCUUCAAAGCCAUCUCCUAUCUUCCUCCAGAAGAGGACCUGAACAUCUGCCUUUACAAUCAAACUCUGCAUGCUAUGGAGAAAAUGCUGCAGAAGCUGCUGGUCAGCCAUCGCACCUCCAGCAGAAAGGAGCUGCAGAACAUCUUGCAGGUGCUUCUGCCCUUCACCAAAUCCCAGAGAAAAACUGUGCGUGAGAGGGCCAUGGAGCAGAUCUGGAAGCUUUGUGGUUUCAUGGCCACCGGUUUCUGUGAGGAGCCAUUUGGAAAACUCCUCCAACCUCCUCAGAGAACAGACAUCGUCCUCAUGGCCCUUGAAAGGACCACUGCAGACUGCGUUGAUGAGGACGAUGCAUGGGCCGAAAUUAUACUGAAAGAAGUUCUGAGACAGCCUGGCAUCUGGCUGAUGCACGUGCCAGUGAUUAUGGGGUUCAUCUACAGACGCUUAAAAAGCAACAAAACAUCAGUUCAGCAGACACUCCUCUCAGUACUUGAUGUGCUGGCCUACCAGUUCCCUAGGCAUGUGCUGACAGCUGUGUUGAUCCACCUUCCACAGACUGACAGCACUACUAUGGAUAUGUGGAAGGGCGUGCUUUCUUCUACACGGUCAUCAGAGAGGGUCUUAGAAGCACUAGUGUGCGCAGUACCUCCUUUCCCUGACUGUGAUUUACCAGACAGUGCACUGUACUCUUUUUCAGGGCUCUUUUUCUCCAGUUCCCUGCUUUUUCCUGUCUUGCCCCCCAGAACAGGAAGCUAG
rnacentral:lncRNA from 1 species